CCCAACCAGUUCUUCCCCAAAUCGAAUCCUCGAGAGCCCUCCUCCUCCACCGCCGCCGCCGCCGCCGACACUCCCUCUGCCCUCGACCGCGCCCUCCACCACCGACCCUCUGCCCUCGAACGCGCCCUCCACAUCGACCCCCUCCGCUGACCUGUGCGACCCCCACCCAUAUCGAUGACGCCGCUGCGUAGAGGUCAACCUCGCCUCCCUCCCACGCCUCUGGUUUCGCUCCCUUCGGCACCGCCACAAGGGCUGGUCGACGGGGCCGGUGCGUCGAGGUCGACAUCGCCUACCCCCCACCACGUCUUCCGUGCUCAGAUCUGUCAUGGAGGAAACGCGAUGCAGGUGCUACCAGUGAAAGGAUUGGGGAUUGGUUCUAGCAGUUGUAGGUUUGUUUGGAAUUCAUAAUGCUCAUGAUUUGCAAAGGCUAUCAGCCAGGUUAUUGUACACGUACUCUUGUAUUUCAUUUUCUUAUCUUAAUAAGUUAAUAUGCAUGUAUAUGUGCCUAUGAUUUGUAAAAUGUAAUGUUCUUCUAUCCAGCCAAUUUUAGCGACAUGGACGGGUCUUUGUUUAUUCAGGUUCAGACAUUGCACAACUGAAGGGCAUCUGCACCAGAUAAUAGAAGCUCUGCAAGGGCCAGCACGGCUAUGGUUUGCUUGUGAGGAGGGGUUGAUUUUCUGAGUUGCAGCCUGGAUAAUAUGUAUCUUAUGAUCCAGAAAAGGAAAGAAAAACAAUCUGUUUCUUACCGUGUUGGUUGGUUGGCUACACGCACAUUUCCUAUGAACCAUGCCUUAAUAAUCGAGCCGCCACUGUAAUCUCACAUCGUGAUCGGUCCUCACUUGAUGAAGUAGCAUACCAACAAAACACGUCGAUGCAUAGCAUUAAAUGCUUGCCCAAAAGAGUCCACAGCUCCUUGCGCUCAAGCAUUAUAUUGUCUGACCUCCUAAGGGUCGUUGAGGAGUUGGCAUAUAAUAGCAGCGACACAAAUGCUUAAAAGAUCGAUGUUUCAGUAAAUGUCAGAGGAUGUUAUAUUAAAGUGGAAGAUGAUGCUAUUGCAGGUUGGGGUAUUGCUUGAGAUGAAUUGUUUCUAUUGGGAGAAAAAUAUGGUAAGUCAUAUCUUUGGGUGCUUUUCUGAAUUCGUGGAUAUCAGAAUGAGAUUGUUCUCAUAUAGAAAGGACUGCCUGAUUUGCUUCAUAGAAGUAAUAAUGGAACUGACAUCCAUUCUGUGAUAGUUGACCUCGAUAAUUGAUAUUUAAAGGAGAUAUUAUGCUUAUUCUACCUGGGAUUCUGAUUUCUUCUGCUAGUGUUUCUUUAUCUUGGGCAUCGAGGGUCUGGAGUGUGUUCAUGCUGCACAUCGGCACAUCGUGUGAUUAUCAUGCGUUCUUCAGUGGGGUCGGACCUCAACAGGAGUAUGCAACUAUGAGCCGUGAUGAGUGCCCGCCUACUACGCCCAUGGGCCAUGGCAUGCUGCAUUGAGCGAGCCGUUGCUUCCUUCUUUUCUUUUCCUUUUUGAUCGAAGUUCACCGCCUACAACACCCACGAUAUGGCGUGUUGACCAUGCCCUUGCCGAUGUUUUUUUUCCUUUGUGAAUAAACGUAGUUGCCACUGCUUUUUUCUACAGGACGCUGCUCUUUUAUUUCCUGGAUAACCACGGGACGCCGCUGUUUUGUUGUCACGCAAGCAGAAUUAAAAAUGAUCUCUUUUUAUCUACUGAACUAAUCAAGAGUUCAAGUCCAGGACGUCAUACAUCAAAAUUGGUGUGGGUCUGCCUUUCUAAUGGUCGUAAUUUACUCAUUAAUGGAGGGUCCACCAAACUAACGGUCCGAUGUGUCUGAUUAAUGUGAGAAUUUCUAGUAAAUCCUCUAUUCUUGAUCCCUAUUUUCCUUUUUAAUAUAUAAUAGAUAGAUGCCACUGCAUAUUAGCGUGGGUGAGGUAUGGGGGGCAGUUUAUCUUGGUAGAUAAGUCUUGGAUUUAGUAUUUUGCUUUCAGAUACAUGCUUGUUGCUAUUUCAGAACAUUGAAACUUUAUUUAGAAUUUUGUUUCCUAUAUGCUUCAUGCAAAUGAAACUGCAGUAAAGAUAUGAACUAUGCUUCUCCUGAAUGUGCUUAGCCUUUUUAUGCAUACAAUUAGUGGAACCUUUUACAUGUCCAGUGUGCGCAUGUCCAGGAACUAAGCUUUUGCAUGUCCUGUGUAUUCUAAAGCUUAGUCUUUUGUUAUUGGGCCAGUACUUGAAGCAGUGUCUUGGUCUGCCAGUCGUAGAAUCAUUUAUGAAUAGCAUAGGUGUUGCCUUCACUUGUAUUCCUACGCAUAGUCCAAUACUUCUCCUUGAUCUAAUACUCCUUUUUCCUUAAGACAAGCAAAAUGGAAUCACAUCCUCGAUUAUCUCUAUGGUCCUGCAUCAUCUUUCAUAGACUAAUUAAGUUAUAACCGGCUUGCAUUGUUUAGGAUAAAUGUACCUUUCCAUGUGUAAAGUGGUUAGACCUGGCAUUACUGUUCAGUAUUUUGUACUCAACAGGAAUCUUGCUAUAGAUACACACUGGAAGUCUAAAAUCAAUACUAGUAGAAACAGGUGUUCUGUCAACUACGCGUCUAUUUUGUUGCAUGUCUCGGGCCACUCAAUUUGUGAUUAAAUAGGUGUUCUGCAUAUAUGUUUGCCAACUGAUUGACCAUGUAAGACUGGAAACAGCACCAUCUUUGUGACAUCUAACUUGUUCUAUUUUUUUGCAGAAAGUGCUAGUACAUUGGAUAAGAACAUUGGCACAUGUGACUGGGAGCCCAAAAGACUAUUUUCUGGACGGUGUUCUAUGGAAUCUUCACAUACAGGAAACUAAAAUUUAUAUCAUAGGUUGGAAAUGUUCCUGAAGACGGGUUAAGAUACCUUGCCGUAACCAUAUGCUUUGAGCUCACCUAGAAGACCUUACAAGCUUUACUCUUUGUGCUUGUUCCAUUCUGUACAACUUGGACGCCUUGAAACUGCAGAUACUAAAUUAUGAUGUAAUUCUUCACACGUAAUCAGUGAAUUGCAUAUAUUGUAAGCUUGUAAAUGUUUGAUGAAGAGAAUUUAUAAUAUGAAUGUGAAGUACUUGUGCA